CUUCCAAUUAUACCUGUCUUCCGGAUGUGGGAGAAAACCCAAACAAUGGGUACACAAAUUUUGACCAUUUUGGAUGGGCUUUCGUUACAUCCUUUCAGCUCAUGACUUUGGAUCAUUGGGAAGACCCUUACAAUUUGGUCCUCCGGGCCUGUGGAUUAUACUAUGUCCUGUUCUUCACUGUUGUGAUCAUGUUUGGCUCCUACUACAUUAUAAACCUGGUCCUAGCGGUAGUGGCGUCAUCUUACGAAAAAGAGUCGAAAAUAAAAGAAAAGAGGGAGAAGGAAAACGCUCACACUCUGGAAAUAUGGAAGAAGAAGGAGGAAAUG